rnacentral:rRNA from 1 species
GGGGCGCAGCAGGCGCGAAACCUCCGCAAUGUGAGAAAUCGCGACGGGGGGAUCCCAAGUGCCAUUCUUAACGGGAUGGCUUUUCUUAAGUGUAAAAAGCUUUUGGAAUAAGAGCUGGGCAAGACCGGUGCCAGCCGCCGCGGUAACACCGGCAGCUCUAGUGGUAGCUGUUUUUAUUGGGCCUAAAGCGUUCGUAGCCGGUUUGAUAAGUCACUGGUGAAAUCCUGUAGCUUAACUGUGGGAAUUGCUGGUGAUACCGUUGAACUUGAGGUCGGGAGAGGUUAGCGGUACUCCCAGGGUAGAGGUGAAAUUCUGUAAUCCUGGGAGGACCACCUGUGGCGAAGGCGGCUAACUGGAACGAACCUGACGGUGAGGGACGAAAGCUAGGGGCGCGAACCGGAUUAGAUACCCGGGUAGUCCUAGCCGUAAACGAUGCGGACUUGGUGUUGGGAUGGCUUUGAGCCGCUCCGGUGCCGAAGGGAAGCUGUUAAGUCCGCCGCCUGGGAAGUACGGUCGCAAGACUGAAACUUAA